UCUCCGUUGGUGAACCAGCGGAGGGAUCAUUGCUGGAACAAACGCCCUCACGGGUGCUACCCAGAAACCCUUUGUGAACUUAUACCAUAAACUGUUGCCUCGGCAUUGGCUGGGCUCUUUCUGAGCCCCCUUUUGUUUUACAGAAGGAGCAGGCCGGCCGGUGGCCCUAUAAACUCUUUGUUUUUGUAUUAUCUUCUGAGUAAAACAACUAUAAAUGAAUCAAAACUUUCAACAACGGAUCUCUUGGUUCUGGCAUCGAUGAAGAACGCAGC
rnacentral:misc_RNA from 1 species